AACGAACGCUGGCGGCAUGCCUAACACAUGCAAGUCGAACGAGACCUUCGGGUCUAGUGGCGCACGGGUGCGUAACGCGUGGGAAUCUGCCCUUUGCUUCGGAAUAACAGUUAGAAAUGACUGCUAAUACCGGAUGAUGUCUUCGGACCAAAGAUUUAUCGGCAAAGGAUGAGCCCGCGUAGGAUUAGGUAGUUGGUGGGGUAAAGGCCUACCAAGCCGACGAUCCUUAGCUGGUCUGAGAGGAUGAUCAGCCACACUGGGACUGAGACACGGCCCAGACUCCUACGGGAGGCAGCAGUGGGGAAUAUUGGACAAUGGGCGCAAGCCUGAUCCAGCAAUGCCGCGUGAGUGAUGAAGGCCU
rnacentral:rRNA from 1 species